GUUUGACCUCGGGUCAGGUAGGAAUACCCGCUGAACUUAAGCAUAUCAAUAAGCGGAGGA
rnacentral:rRNA from 1 species